ensembl:lncRNA
AUGUACCUGAUAGUGGAGUUCGUCGGAGAAGGGAGUACCGGUCCUGUAGCAAAGUCCUGGUACUCAGAUGGCCACUCAUGGUGGCCUCCAUACAAAGACUUGGACCGGUUACUAAAGAGCGUCAGGUCGAUGGAGGCACCACAGCCAGAUAAGGGUUGGACCAAGCAUCAGGCCAGAAUUCUACAUGAGUCGGCAUCAUUUGACAACAUUUCCAAAAAAUGGAAAAGGGCAUGCUACACUUCUGACAUCUCAGAAUCUGAAAGUUCUAUAAAAAGAAUUCACAAAAAGAAAACAUUCUCAUCAGAUGAUGAGCUUCAUGAUACCCCCAACAAAAAAAUGAAAAUUAAUAGAGAGAAAGCUCCACCUACACCAAAAAUCCAGCCCGCACCAAAAGUUCUGCCUGCACCAAAAGCUCCAGCACCUCUAAAACACAUCAAGACAAAAGGUCCUGUUGUACGACCUCUGCUUACAACAAGCAAAGCAGUGAACUCUUUCAGCAAUUCACUUGUUAGUCACCACCAAAGGGCCAUGGAGAAGCCACAGCAGGCACGUUUUGAGACUUUCCCCAGCUGUCAAGCUCCAGAUGUUCCCAUGAGCUUCUCCCAGGCAGAUGAGCCACAAGAUACUUGGGGUGAACACUCACCUGACAUUCAAGAUAAUGCAUUUUCUGUGCUGAGACCUUCAAGUUCCAAGCAAGAAAGAACACAGCCUCAUUUCAGAGAGAGCUUCUCUCAUGCAGACCGCCAGCUGGAAACUUGGGAAGAACACCCAUCUAUCACUCAAGCUGUUCCAGUGAGCUUGUCCAAUGAAAAUGAGCAAGAGGAUGCUUGGGGUGAAGACCCAUCUAACUUUCAAGAGAACACAAUCUCUGAACAGAGACCCUCAAGUACCCACCAGGCAAGAACAAAUAGUGCUUUUGGUGUGAGACGAUGGAGCUGCAUCACUAAUCAAUGUACACCUGUUGAGAGGACAAUUCUGGAGGCACUUAACGAACUGGACAUGAAGAUCAAUCAUCUGACUUCAGUGCUCCAGUCUCUUGCAGCUAACAGUCGGUCCAGUGCUCCAGUGCUGCUGGUGGACAGAGAGGAUGAUGUCUUUCCUCUCACAACCAUGGAGGAACUAGACAAACUGGAAAGACAAUUAUCAGAAAAAGAAAUGAUGCAAAAGAUGGUGAACAGGUUAUCCAUCAGCGGAGGACACACACUGAAGAAAACCAUAUGGAGAAUAUGCUCCAAGGUUUUCGGUCCUGUAGCCAAACAGCUGAACUGGUGUGGUAGGGGAGAAAAGCGAGGGAUCAGGAAAACAAACAUAGGAGCACUCCUAAUAGGAGCAGCUAUGAAGAAUCCCGUGCUUCCGUCGCUAACUGAAGCAGAGGCUGAAAAACACGUUAAGGAUUAUCUCCGCUUGGCCCCAGGGAGAAUGCCUUGUUAAUCAACUUGCUUUUUUGUUGUUUGUUUGUUUCAGGAUUAAAAUAAUAAUAAUAAUAACAUAAACGACUGCUUAUUUUCAUUCACUGUUAAUAAAAUGAUACAAAUCAUUCAACAGCAUGUUGUGUUCUUUCAUUCUGAAAAUACUUGGGUUUAGUUAUCAUACUUAUCACAUAUGUGUAGACGCAUGCAUAAUCAGUGUAACUAAAGCUGUUAUCAAUAACAGUAAAUAUGAAGGAACGUCUAAAAUCGUAUAAUUAAGAACGACGUCUAUGUUAUGUAAAUCAGAUGUCUAAUAGACGUAACAUUCUAAUAUUAAACGUCUGUAGUACGUCUACCGGAUGUCGCUGGAACGUCGGAAAAGGACGUCUAUGCGACGUAUUCCAGAUGAGCAAACGCCCUAAAAAAUACGUCUCCCAGAUGCAAACGCAUACAUCGCACAGACGUCCCCGCGACGUACGCGUGCUAUCUGGGUAUAUAUAUAUAUAGAUAUAUAUAUAUAUAUAUAUAGAUAGAUAGAUAGAUAGAUAGAUAGACACAUAACGAAAUACCCUUUAAAGUCCAAUAUGGGUUUAUAUUUGUUUAAUUUUGUCAACUCUCUGAAUUGCAAGCUGUCAGGUCUGAUGGUAAAAGCUAAAAUGGGCGACUGGAUUUUUCAAGUGUUAUAAUGGAAAUGGCAGAUGAGGGACGAAACAGGGACGUUCGCAAACUGGCUCGGACAAAUGUCCUCCGAACGUUACAAGCGGACCAAAACCGGACGUCCUCUAAACGUCCGCCAGCGAACGUCAAAAAGAGGACCAAAUGCGGACGUAAGUGGACGUCCUCAAAACGUCCGCCAGAGGACGUUAUACAGCGGACCAAACCCGGACGUCCUCCGAACGUCCGGCCGCGAACGUUAUAAAGCGAACGUACUGCGGACCUAAACGGACGGACGUCCCCUGUUUGCUGGGCUGUUUCUGGACAAAAUAAAUGCUCUUAGGUUGCAUUCAAUUAAAUCUCAUGUUUAUUUCAAUGCAAUUUCUUUUUGUACUUGUAAAUAAACUUAAAGAAACAGUGUGUUCACACAAAAACCAUGAAAAUAAAAGAAAUGUCACUCAUUAUACAGUGGAUAACAAUUAACAACAAACAAUUUAGUUUAGUUGGGUCCACACAUCAUGUUCACCUGUUGGAGCUUAACUUUUUAAGCUUUUUCAUUUUUAUUUCAACUGCAAUUAGCAUAAAAUUCUUAAAGAUGGUAUUCUUAUUCAUGCAAAAGUCAAGUGUUCAUGUGCCCGAAUAUUAUCUGCAUGCAAAAUAAUAAUAAUAAAAAAAACACAAUAUGCUACAAUGCAAGGGUUUUCAAUCUGGGGUUCAGGACCAAAGCAAAGGGGUCCACAAAAUCAUUUAUACCAUAUUUUCCAGACCACAAAUCAUAUUUUUGAAUCUUCUGAGAUGUGCUGAAUUAUUCUAAGCAAAACGUAAACACAUAAAAGCGGGCACUUACAGGUUUCUAUAAGUAUAGUUCUCAUGUCUGUGUGACAAGUCUGUCUGUACCACUGUUUUCUACAUUUCAAAAUGAGGUUCCAUACCUGCCAACUUUUCAAAAAACCUUGGAGUGAGAUUUUGUCAGGGGUGGUCAAAAUAGUGCCGCGCAGCACGCACACAACCACACAAGUUGGUGGCUCAGAUAUCAGAGUAUUGAAAUUGACGUUCACCCAUGUUGUACCCUGCAUUCUGGUGGUUUAUGGGGGGUCCAAAGCUAGGGGCAGCUUAUUAGAGAUAGACAAUAUUGGUUACAUUCUGUGAAGCAAACAUAGCUGGAGGUCCAACCACAGGACAUUUUGGAUUAAGUAGAUGUGAUUUCCUGCAUUCUAGUGGAUUUUUGGGUGGUCUGCUAAAGACCACUUGCACCCAUGUGCAAUACCUGAACUUAUUCUGGUUCAUGUUUGCCAUCAAGACUUGUAGGGCCUUCUAGACUUGAGCUAAACAUUCAACCAGAAAACUAAAAAAAUACGGGUUGCAAACUUGUCUACAUAUGGUCAAGACAAUAAACUACAUAAAAUUGCACUUUUGUAAGAUAUCAGUCAGCAUUUGAACUGAUAUGUGUGUAUUUUGUAGUUUUUCAUAAGUAUCAUUACAUUAUUCAAGUAAGCUCCAAGCCAGUACCUGCAUUUAAAGUUGUAAUCCGACAAAGAUCGCAGCAAACCAGUGUAGUUUACCUGGCCUCGGUCUUGGCUAAGCCUGAGGUUCAUCACUGUCUCCUCCAUUAUGAGUAAAUCAUAAAAACAAAAACGAGCAGUUCUGGCUCCACCUGUCCUGGCAGGACUGUCCUCUCGUCAGCGCUCUUCUCUCACCGUUGCUAUGUGACAGAGCGCUAAUCGAAAACACCUGGUGACGGAAUUAGGAAAUCCUGUGAAGGUGGAGCAUCUCACGCACUUCGGAGGACCCUUCGUGCACUUCGGAGGUCUGGUCUUCGAAGUCCGUGGCCUUCGAAGUGUGCACACUCAACUUUGGGACACAGCUUAAGCUUCAGGGUGCAGCGCAUAGGGUUCAGUGACGCUUAUUAGCGCUAUCUAUGAUCGGAGAGUUUGAAAAGGAACGAGCAAUUCUCGCCUCAAGAUUAGAUUUUUUUUUUUUGCGUGAGAAAUGUGAUGUGUGGCGUGAGUGCGUGUGAAAACAGGCAAAACCGUGUGUCACACGGCGAAAGCGUGAGAGUUGGCAGCUCUGAGGUUCACAGAAACUGAGAUAGCAAGUGCAUUUUAAUUAACAAAAGAAAUACUGCUUGUAACUAAUGGCACUAGAAUUUUUUUUUAAAUUUUAUACAGAGGCCUAAAUAUUUUUAUUUUUGUUCUGUUUUGAAUAGUAUUCAAUUUAAAUGAUUUGAAGUGAGGGAAAAUAAAAUCUUUACAGUGUUUAUAGUUUUUAAGUUUCUUAACGUUUGUUUUAUUUAUCAGUAUUUAAAUUAUUUCUGAAAUUAAUAGUAAAAUGUGUCUUAUACACCGACGCAACUUAAGUAUUUUUUCCUGACCUGGUGUAACUUAGCCCUAUACUGUGCUGUAUUAUUAAACAAAUGUAUUAUAAAAAAAUGGGGACUAUUUAAAAAAAAUAAUAAUAAUAAUAAAAUAAAACAAUCAUAUUAUGUUCAUUAUACUCCCACCCACAAUAAUUUUUAGCUUUAAAAUCUGUUGUAAUUCUGAGGGUGUCCUUGAAAAAUCUUCUCUGCAAGGGAUCCGUGGCACCAAAAUGUUGUAAAUGUCCAGUGCUAGUGGACAGGCAUCCAUAUACAGCAGAGAUUCUGGUGUGGUAGGAGGAACUGUCCUGGUCGGCACAACAUCUAUCUGUCUUCAUGAACUGCCCUGAAACACAAAUAUAAAUAUUAAUAAUUAUUAUAAAUAUACAUAUAGCUUCACAAUGCUCAUUUUGACCUCUGUGGUGAACAUUUGAUCAAAAAAUACUGGCAGACUGAUUUUUAGUCUUUAGUGAAUCAUUUCAAAGCGUGAUUUAAAAAUUUUUUUUAAAGUGCCUAAUUUCACAGACUCAUGUGAGCAUCUAGGAUACACGACAAAGGCUGUUUUAAUACUAG